AGGUCUCUUUGCAGUGACGUGGAAGAGUAGGUGCAGCUGAGUGCAUGGCUGGCUACUUGCCACCAUCUUGUUUUAUUGGGACUGUAGAGGCAGAUGCUUAGAGAUGAUACACAGCUCUAACACAUAUAAAAGUUCAAAGAUGUAAGACACUAACAUUGAGCCUUAUGUGAUCUGAUUUGUUGACCUUCACAGCAGUGACUGUAGACCAGAGGCUAACACUAAAACAUAGACUAGCUGUAGCAGUUAUUGUUUAAUUCAAGCUAACGGAAGGCUGCAGUGUUAUAUCUAUAAAUCUAUUUGAGCCUGUCUGCAUCAGAUUAGAAAAUCAAGUGUAUUCAAUCAUUUUCUAAUCUGCUGUUUACUAUUGUGGAAAGGGGUUUAUGAGAUGCAGUGUGUUUGUUUUUACAAAUAUAGUCUGACAGGGUGACUUACCUUCUGAAGAAGCUCUUUAUUCUCAUUUCUUUUUAGGUAACUAGGGAAGAAAAGCUGUCUAGAAACUGUCAUUGUAAAAAAGUACAUACUUCUGAGCACCUAAUUAGAAAGUUCUCUUUGCUACUUUGAACAGGUUUUGGCUCUGCUUUGUGUAAGUUCAGAAUUCUUCACUGUCUUCCCUUAACAUGCCUCUGGCUGCAUCCAUAAUGCUUUAGGCCUCUGGGAAAGACUCAGCUCAAGUCCAGAGGACCUAUGUUCCUCGAGGAACAGGACUUUCACACGACCAGUCAGAUCACCUCACAUGCUCUGCAGUGAUUUCAGGCUGCCAGCACGUAUUCUGUGCCCCCUCCAUGAGGCAUGCUUUCGUAGAGUCACAGACAGCAGAUCCCUGUGCAUGGCUGCACAGGCACGUAUCAAGGCCAAUUAGGUUUUUCCACCACCAGCAGAAGGGUGCCCUCUCACACAAUAGAAAACUAAAUUUUGAAUAGCAACCUGCCUUCCCCAUGUCACCCCAUGGUUACAACCAAAGUCACACAACUGUCUUGUAGGCUUAGCAGAGCAGCGCCCAUGCUGAUCCUUUGGCUUGCUCAAGAAACACAAUCCCUUCCACACACAUCUAAGAACCUGGCCUAACACCCCUCAGCCCAACACUGGAUCUGGCUUGGGAACUUCGUUGUCUCAUUGUACAGUGGGACAGAAGGUUGGCAUGGGAGUCUUCUUUUGAAGAACUGUCCCAGGCAGAAAGGACAAGGCUUGGCACCAGCUCUCUGCUAAAAAUAGCUGUCUGCCUAUUUCACAAACAUCCCUAUCUGUCAGCUGGGCACUUGGUACCAGGUCUAUCAAGGAUGCUUUUCAUAGCAAAGGUUACUAGAACAAGGUAUAUACUGUGAGAUGAAUUUUACUUGUUAUGGGAACUCCACAUCUCUGAAGUGCUUUUGCAAUGGGGACCUUCUGCAGAGGGGCCUCUUGACAGUCUUUCACAAUGCCUUCAGGGUUGGCAUGUCCCAUUAUAAGCCCAACUGGAAACCAAACAUUUCAAAAUAUUUUGGGCACCUGAAAAAUUGUCCUUUCUAGUGCUUUUAGUGACUUUGAGCUGUUGUGACCAUGGAGUAUUGUUUUCUGAGGCCUGGCUGCAAGAGCUUCUUCUUUACAAUGAGCUAUUGUGAGGGAGGAGAGCAAAGGCAUUGUGUCCUGACUGGUAAUAAUAAUCUAAGUCUUCUUCCUCAUUAUCUCCAGAAGGAAGGAGAACUGUCUUUUUCUGUGUGCUUUGACUUUUUAAAGGCCUGAUGGGAUAGAAUGACUACUAAUAUGAAGUGGCUACAACUCUAAUGUGGAGGAAGAGAGGAUCUGCUGCCUGUGUGCAGCAGCUGAAGUGUUUGGUGCCAGCAGGGACCGUUUGUAGAACAACCAAGUGUCCAUGCACUGGGAACUGUGUGGCAGUGAUGCUGCUUUCUGGGAGUGCCACAGGGACAGCACCUCAUAUCAGUGACCAACUCAUACCAGUCACUGACAAAAGAGAGCAGCAACCCCACAGCUGUGAUCUAACACAUGCUGGAUAUAUUUGGUUCAGGAAACUAACCUCUUUUUUAGCAGUAUUUGUUUUAAGUUGAAUUAUGAGGCACCUGCUGCAAAUGCAUUGGUUUGAAAAGAGAUGAUGUUUACCUGAGAGGCUGCAGUGUGCUGAGCCCUGCAUAAUGCAUGAUGAAAAGCUUUCAGUUUCUCAGAGAUGGCCUGAAGUGAAAGCAUUCUACAGGCAUAAAAUAUAAAGGAACAACAUCACACUGGAAGUAUUUUGGCUUUUUUUUUUCUUUAUUAUCUCUAAUAUACACAACUAUUUAUAUAUAUUUGAACCCACACAAUAAACAGCUGUUCAGAACACACUUGCUUCCCGAAAAUCUCAUCUAAGUUACUCAUCUGUAGCCCUUCCCAAGGAUUUAUGACACAUCUAGUGCAAAUUAUUAAAACUUUGUCUGCUAUAGAAAUAUUAUUGUCUUUCCUGCUGUAUUCAGAACCAGAUUGUUUAGACCUGCUUGAUGAUGUCCUAAAGUCUAAUAUUUAGCAAGAAAUAAACCAGCUAGAAUGCACACAAUGCUCAAGUUUUGAAGUUAUGGCAUGCUUAUCUCCUAAUAGAUUAUGUAAAGUAAUGCUUUGAAAUCAGAUUUAGUAGUGUAAAUGACUUUGUCCUUUGUUUCCACAUAUUAAGCAGUACCUGAGAUACCUACCUUUCCUUGUAGGAUGAUAGAAACGUCCCUUACCUUGUAAACUCUCCAACAGUUCUGCUUUUUUUCUUUGCAAUAUAUAGGUCUUGUUGUUCCAUAGUUAGAAGUUUUCUGUGACUGCCUGACUUGCCUGCCUGAAAAUACAUUCAAAUGAUAUGUACAAAGGGACAGGACAGGCCCAUACGUCUGAUUUCUACAGAGCAGCCAAUGAGGAAGCAUGGAACAGAAGCUUUGCUGAAAUUAUGCCCUGGACACAGACCAGGAGUAUCUGCAAACAGUGAAGGCCAUCAGUUGGACCAGAUGUCACACUGGAAUUAAUGGGUAAGUACCAGGAGCAGACAUGACUGUAGGUUUGGGAGUGAGGAAGCUGGAAAUGAGAAGGGUGAGCAGUGAACAGGGGAAUCGGAGGGGGCAGCAGCCCCUUGAGUUCACAGCUCAGUGCUGUGUGGCUGGAGCAAGGAAAGCCUACUCCUCUUGUUCCUGCAGUCUGAGAAAGAGGCAUUUGGUAUGCUUGUUUUUCUUUGUAAAUGAAUAUGAUUACACUAAGAAUAUACCUUUCUUCUAGCACCAAACUGUCCCUCAAAUGGAACAGUUCUGCAAGGUCUGAAAAUUUGACUCACUUUUCAAGCAGCAGUGAGGAAAAAACCCCAAACAACGCAUUUCCCUUCCUGCCUUAUGUAGCUGAGUGUAAAAGACUAUGGGUUUGUAUCACAGCUGGCCUGGAAGUGCAGUCCUUAAGCAGAAAGAGGAAGCCUUAACACAUCCUCUCCUGCAACAGAUUAUGUUUGGAUUUAAUACUUGUCAUUUUGAGAACAGUCUU